rnacentral:lncRNA from 1 species
AUGUUCAGUGGUGUGGCUCGUCUUGUUUUUGCACAGGGGCCCCGAGGUCCAGAUGGCCCACCGGGAGAACUGGGUCCUGAGGGCAUCAAGGGUGAAAAGGGGGAGAUCGGACCUAAAGGAGAGCCAGGCUUCAUAGGCAAGGCUGGAAAUUCAGGAGAGAGAGGCCCUCCUGGGAAGGCUGUGAGUAAUAUUUCUUUCUUUUUGUCUCUUAAAGCUUUAGAUUUUUUUUGAGAAGCAACAGUAUAUAAUACUACUUUAAAGCUAUCAUAAAGAAUCUUUUUAUUGCACUAACAAUCCACACUCUGCGCUCUUCAUCAGCUUGUGUUGAUGUGCUCCUUGUUGUUCGUCUGGCGUGGGUGCAGGGUUUCGCAUGUUGCACAGUACUAAAAUUAUUAUGACUCAGUUGCUAACACAAUUUCCUUCUUUUAUAUUUAAGAAAUAAGGAGUAAAUCUUCACUACUUUAAGCCCGUUUACAGUGUUCAAAGUCCAAAUAAGACAUUCAUCCAGACCUGUUUCAUUUCAUUUAAUCACAGCCAUCCAUUUUCUUCACUGUUUAUCCACUUCGUGUUUGCAGAUUGGAUAAGGGUUUAUUAAGAGAAAUGGAAUGCACUUUUCUACUCUGUUUCAUCACUCAAAGCACUUUGUAUUACAUUGCUCAAUCACCCAU